rnacentral:rRNA from 1 species
UGGGGAAUAUUGCACAAUGGGCGAAAGCCUGAUGCAGCAACGCCGCGUGCGCGAUGAAGGCCUUCGGGUCGUAAAGCGCUUUUCUGGGAGAUGAGAAAGGACAGUAUCUCAGGAAUAAGUCUCGGCUAACUACGUGCCAGCAGCCGCGGUAAAACGUAGGAGGCAAGCGUUAUCCGGAUUCACUGGGCGUAAAGCGCGUGCAGGCGGUUCGGUAAGUUGGGCGUGAAAUCUCCUGGCUUAACUAGGAGAGGUCGUUCAAUACUACCGAACUUGAGAGUGAUAGAGGAAGAUGGAAUUCCCGGUGUAGUGGUGAAAUGCGUAGAUAUCGGGAGGAACACCAGUGGCGAAAGCGAUCUCUGGAUCAUUCUGACGCUCAGACGCGAAAGCUAGGGUAGUAAACGGGAUUAGAGACCCCGGUAAUCCUAGCCGUAAACGAUGUAAACUUGGACGUCGGUGGCUUAAACUCCAUCGGUGCCGGCAGCUAACGCGAUAAG